rnacentral:rRNA from 1 species
UUACGGGGUGCAGGCGCGAAAACUCUACAAUGCAGGCAACUGCGAUAGGGGAACAUCGAGUGAUCCUCAUAUUGGGGGUCUGUCCACCCGCCUAAAAAGCGGGUGUUAGCAAGGGCCGGGCAAGACCGGUGCCAGCCGCCGCGGUAAUACCGGCGGCUCGAGUGGUGGCCGAUAUUAUUGAGUCUAAAGGGUCCGUAGCCGGCUUUGCAAGUCUCUCGGGAAAUCCAGCGGCUUAACCGUUGGUCGUCCGGGGGGUACUACAUUGCUUGGGACUGGGAGAGGUAGGAGGUACUCAGGGGGUAGGAGUGAAAUCCUGUAAUCCUUUGGGGACCACCGGUGGCGAAGGCGUCCUACCAGAACAGGUCCGACGGUGAGGGACGAAAGCUAGGGGCACGAACCGGAUUAGAUACCCGGGUAGUCCUAGCCGUAAACGAUGCUCGCUAGGUGUCACAACAGUCGUGAACUGUUGUGGUGCCGUAGGGAAGCCGUGAAGCGAGCCACUUGGGAAGUA